CACGUAGGGUGCGAGCGUUGUCCGGAAUUAUUGGGCGUAAAGAGCUCGUAGGCGGUGUGUCACGUCGGCCGUGAAAACCUGCAGCUUAACUGUGGGCGUGCGGUCGAUACGGGCAUCACUGGAGUUCGGCAGGGGAGACUGGAAUUCCUGGUGUAGCGGUGAAAUGCGCAGAUAUCAGGAGGAACACCGGUGGCGAAGGCGUGUCUCUGGGCCGAUACUGACGCUGAGGAGCGAAAGCGUGGGGAGCAAACAGG
rnacentral:rRNA from 1 species